GUACAACUCCGGAUUGUGUCCCGCAAGAUAGAGGUAUUUGGCUGAGAGUUACCCUCGCUGAUUAAGCUAAGUGGGGGGAAUAAAGGCUCACCCAAGGCGGCCGUAUCAGUUAGCUGUUCGAGAGGAUGUUCAGCCACCUUUGGGAAUUGAGACACGGCCCCAGACUUCUUACGGGAGGCAGCAGUGGGGAAUUUUCCGCAAUGGCGAAAGCCUGACGGAGCAACGCGCGUGAGGGAGAAGCUCUUGGGUGUAAACCUCUUUUAUCAAGGAGAUAAUGACGGUACUUGAUGAAUCAGCAUCGGCUAACUCCGUGCCAGCAGCCGCGGUAAUACGGAGGAUGCAAGCGUUAUCCCGGAAUAAUUGGGCGUAAAGCGUUCGUAGGUGGUGAUGUAAGUCUGCUGUUAAAGCGUGUAGCUUAACUACAUAUAGGCGGUGGAAACUACAUGACUAGAGUGCGUUCGGGGCAGAGGGAAUUCCUGGUGUAGCGGUGAAAUGCGUAGAUAUCAGGAAGAACACCGGUGGCGAAGGCGCUCUGCUAGGCCGUAACUGACACUGAGGGACGAAAGCUAGGGGAGCGAAUGGGAUUAGAUACCCCAGUAGUCCUAGCUGUAAACGAUGGAUACUAGGCGUUGUCUGUAUCGACCCGGACAGUGCCGUAGCUAACGCGUUAAGUAUCCCGCCUGGGGAGUACGCACGCAAGUGUGAAACUCAAAGGAAUUGACGGGGGCCCGCACAAGCGGUGGAGUAUGUGGUUUAAUUCGAUGCAACGCGAAGAACCUUACCAAGGCUUGACAUGUCCGGAAUUUCUUGGAAACGAGAAAGUGCCUUCGGGAGCCGGAACACAGGUGGUGCAUGGCUGUCGUCAGCUCGUGUCGUGAGAUGUUGGGUUAAGUCCCGCAACGAGCGCAACCCUCGUUUUUAGUUGCCAGCACUUCGGGUGGGCACUCUAGAGAGACUGCCGGUGACAAACCGGAGGAAGGUGGGGAUGACGUCAAGUCAUCAUGCCCCUUACGUCUUGGGCUACACACGUACUACAAUGCUAUGGACAAAGAGCAGCCAACCAGCGAUGGUGCGCUAAUCUCAUAAACCAUGGCUCAGUUCAGAUCGCAGGCUGCAACUCGCCUGCGUGAAGUAGGAAUCGCUAGUAAUUGCAGGUCAGCAUACUGCAGUGAAUUCGUUCCCGGGCCUUGUACACACCGCCCGUCACACCAUGGAAGUUGGUCAUGCCCGAAGUCGUUACCCUAACCGU
rnacentral:rRNA from 1 species